rnacentral:rRNA from 1 species
ACGGGAGGCAGCAGUGGGGAAUAUUGGGCAAUGGGCGAAAGCCUGACCCAGCAACGCCGCGUGAAGGAAGAAGGUCUUCGGAUUGUAAACUUCUUUUAUAAGGGACGAAGAAAGUGACGGUACCUUAUGAAUAAGCCACGGCUAACUACGUGCCAGCAGCCGCGGUAAUACGUAGGUGGCAAGCGUUGUCCGGAAUUACUGGGUGUAAAGGGAGAGUAGGCGGGAUUGCAAGUCCGUUGUUAAAUCUAUCGGCUCAACCGGUAGCUGCGGCGGAAACUGUAGUUCUUGAGUGAAGUAGAGGCAGGCGGAAUUCCUAGUGUAGCGGUGAAAUGCGUAGAUAUUAGGAGGAACACCAGUGGCGAAGGCGGCCUGCUGGGCUUUAACUGACGCUGAGGCUCGAAAGUGUGGGGAGCAAACAGGAUUAGAUACCCUGGUA